GAUGAAGAACGUAGCGAAAUGCGAUAAGUAAUGUGAAUUGCAGAAUUCCGUGAAUGAUCGAAUCUUUGAACGCACAUUGCGCCCCCUGGUAUUCCGGGGGGCAUGCCUGUCCGAGCGUCAUUGCAACCUUCAAGCGCGGCUUGUGUGUUGGGUCUCGUCCCCCGUGGACGGGCCCGAAAGGCAGUGGCGGCGUCCCGACAUGGUGCCCGAGCGUAUGGGAAUCCUCUUCCGCUCGAAUCGGCCCAUGCGGCGCUGGUCGUAACCAAAUUUUUUACCGGUUGACCUCGGAUCAGGUAGGGAUACCCGCUGAACUUAAGCAUAUCAAUAAGCGGAGGA
rnacentral:misc_RNA from 1 species